UACAGAGGGGGCAAGCGUUAUUCGGAAUUAUUGGGCGUAAAGGGCGCGUAGGCGGCCAAGCAAGUCAGGGGUGAGAUCCCUCGGCUCAACCGAGGAAUUGCCUCUGAAACUGCAUGGCUUGAGACCGGGAGAGGGUGGUGGAAUUCCCAGUGUAGCGGUGAAAUGCGUAGAUAUGCGGAGGAACACCAAUGGCGAAGGCAAUCCCCUGGGCCUGUACUGACGCUCAUGCACGAAAGCGUGGGGAGCAAACAGGAUUAGAAACCCCUGUAGU
rnacentral:rRNA from 1 species